AGGCAAAAAAAAAAAGUUAAAAAAACAAAACACAACCCGGCCAAAGCUUCCCCUAUCUUGAUGAAACCCGUUGCGAACACAAAGAAGCUGAAAAGAAAAUCCCAAUAUCGAACCGAAAAGCUUGAAAACAUCGUGGAAACCUUACUCUAAGGCGGAUCGAACCACCUUAGAUCCUUUGCCACUUGCUCCAUAACUAAGAUCGGAGCUUCCUCGACCCAAAAGCGGUCUACGAUGCCUGCUGUGGAAUCUUUCGCUAGAAGGUGAGCUACCAAAUUCCUAGAUCGGUGGACAAAUCGAAACGACACCUCCUGCAUGGAUGAAGCCAACCGUUGGCCAUCAAAAACCAAGAAGAUUGCGUUCACAACGAUCGUCGCUUCAGCAACCAUCGUCGAGGUAACACCCCAUAUUCUCUGUCUUGUAGCCCCUAAAAUGUUACCUGCUUCAUCUCUGAUCGCCACACCUGACCAUGCUUCCUGACUGUUGUGCGAGAAACUUGCAUCAAAAUUAGUCUUAAUUUUCGAAGGCGAAGGAGGGGACCAGCGAACCUCAGUCAUUGAAGAGGAAGGUUGGAGUGCCUGGGAGACAUCAACGAACUCCUUGCAAUGAGCUUGAACGAACACUGCAAGUUGUCUGAUGCAAGGUGGUGUUAACUUUUUUGGCUGGAUAUCCAUUCUGAUAGAUCAGAAUACACAAGCAUUCCAUAUGUUUAUGUCUUCUCUUCUUCAGCUUUUCGAUCGCACCGGAGUGUUGUACGGGGAAUUAGCUAGAUUUGUGUUAAGAUUGCUUGGCAUCAAGAUAAAACCCCGCAAGAUCAAUCAACCAGGACCUGGUGGACUCCCAGGACCGCAUAACCCUCAUGGGAAUCAGAACAUAUUGAGGCUGAAAAGGCUGCGCCAAGCGCUGCAUGGGACAACGUAUGGGGUGAAAAGGGUAGCUCUUAGUUCGAUACUCGAUUUCCAUCCAAUGAUUGCUGGUAAAAUAACCCGAAAUUUUGGGAAAGGCUUAUCGAAGUUCGGAUGAGACAAAUACAACCACUUGCACCUGCUUGAUUCACGCAGCUUGGUGAAGGGUAGGUGGCGCUCAUCUGAAUAAAUGUUUGGGGUUGUAUUCUUCUGCAGGAUUUGGGUGCACCAAGUAGUCCCAUGGUGUUAGA